UACGAACUGUGCGAACGUUAUUCGGAAUCACUGGGCUUACAGGGUGCGUAGGCGGCUUGUUAAGUAGGGUGUGAAAGCCCCCGGCUCAACCGGGGAAUUGCGCCCUAAACUGGCGAGCUGGAGUGAGAUAGGGGUGUGUGGAACUUCCGGUGGAGCGGUGAAAUGUGUUGAUAUCGGAAGGAACGCCGGUGGCGAAAGCGACACACUGGACCAAUACUGACACUGAGGAGCGAAAGCCAGGGGAGCAAACGGG
rnacentral:rRNA from 1 species